UCACGUAUAUUGGGGGCAUCAGAUAUCUCAAAGAGGACACGAUCUGCGGUAUCUAAAAGAAAAGCUCGCCCUUGCACAGAGGGAUUGCUAGAAUCGUACAGUGAAAAAACUGAAAAUGUUCCACAGAGGAAGGUUUCUAUCGGCGCCAAUGGUGCUCGGAGCAGUGCUGAUUGGAGUUGUUUCUGGUAAAGCUAUAUUUGGACCUCCACUUGAUGAAUACUGGACAAAGAAACUUCAGGAACAGGCAGCCACAAAGGAAACAGAUUCAGGCUCAAGUUAAACCCAUUUUGAAUGGGGUCCCCAUGUUUUAUGGUCGUACGUAAAAGGUGAAGAUGCAGGAAUGUUUUGUAUCAUAUUUGGGAUUACUUUUAAUGAUAUAAUUGCUGCAUUAUUGACUGUCUCAACUGAACUAUAAUAACAGAUAGAAGAUGAAGAUGUUGUUGAUUCACAUAGGGUUUUAAUGAGUUCUGUUUCUUCGAUU